rnacentral:lncRNA from 1 species
AUCAAACAAGCAAAAUCAUAACCAGAUCUAGAUCUAUGGCCUUUGACAUUCGAUUGUCAAGCCAUAAAUCUAGGGUUCUUGACAGUUUUGAAAAACUUGAUUUUUGAGCAUUUUGAUGUUCUAUAUCUAUGAUGUAACAUCUAAUAACACCAGAUUAAACACAAAAACAUAACAUUUAACAUAGCAUACAAGAUCAGAUUCUUGGUUAGGGUUUAUACCUCACUUUGAUCUAGCUUGAAUCUUGGCUUCCUAAUCUGUUUUUGAUGUUCUAGGAACUUGGUUAGGGACUGAAAUGCUUAUGAUUUUCGUGUGUUUAGAGAGAGAAG